AUUGAACGCUGGCGGCAUGCCUUACACAUGCAAGUCGAACGGCAGCACGGGAGCUUGCUCCUGGUGGCGAGUGGCGAACGGGUGAGUAAUACAUCGGAACGUACCCUGAAGUGGGGGAUAACGUAGCGAAAGUUACGCUAAUACCGCAUAUUCUGUGAGCAGGAAAGAGGGGGAUCGCAAGACCUCUUGCUUUAGGAGCGGCCGAUGUCGGAUUAGCUAGUUGGUGAGGUAAAGGCUCACCAAGGCGACGAUCCGUAGCGGGUCUGAGAGGAUGAUCCGCCACACUGGGACUGAGACACGGCCCAGACUCCUACGGGAGGCAGCAGUGGGGAAUUUUUGGGACAAUGGGCGCAAGCCUGAUCCAGCCAUGCCGCGUGAGUGAAGAAGGCCUC
rnacentral:rRNA from 1 species